CGAAAUGUAGCUUAAAUAAAGCCCCUCGCUUACACCGAGAAAAUGUCUAAUAAUACUAGACCAUUUUGA
rnacentral:tRNA from 1 species